rnacentral:rRNA from 1 species
CCCUUAGAUAUCCUGGGCCGCACGCGUGCUACACUGACGCUGACAGCGAGUAUUUCCAGCUCCGAGAGGCAGCUGGUAAUCAGCAAUCGGCGUCGUGAUGGGGAUAGACCCUUGGAAUUGUGGGUCUUGAACGAGGAAUGCCUAGUAAGCGCAGGUCAUCAGCCUGCGUUGAUUAAGUCCCUGCCCUUUGUACACACCGCCCGUCGCUCCCACCGAUUGAAUGGUCCGGUGAAUUCUUCGGACUGCGGCUUUGACUCGAUUUCGGUCGAGGCGUUGCUGCGGGAAGUUGAUUAAACCUUACCAUUUAGAGGAAGGUGAAGUCGUAACA